UCCUCGGUAGCUCAAUGGUAGAGCAACCGGCUGUUAACCGGUUGGUUGGUGGUUCGAGUCCGCCCCGAGGAGCCA
rnacentral:tRNA from 1 species